UACGUAGGGUGCAAGCGUUAUCCGGAAUUAUUGGGCGUAAAGAGCUCGUAGGCGGUUUGUCGCGUCUGCUGUGAAAACCCGAGGCUCAACCUCGGGCCUGCAGUGGGUACGGGCAGACUAGAGUGUGGUAGGGGAGACUGGAAUUCCUGGUGUAGCGGUGAAAUGCGCAGAUAUCAGGAGGAACACCGAUGGCGAAGGCAGGUCUCUGGGCCACUACUGA
rnacentral:rRNA from 1 species